CACAAGCGGUGGAUGAUGUGGUUUAAUUCGAUGCAACGCGAAAACCUUACCACCUUUGACAUGUACGGAAUCCUUUAGAGAUAGAGGAGUGCUCGAAAGAGAGCCGUAACACAGGUGCUGCAUGGCUGUCGUCAGCUCGUGUCGUGAGAUGUUGGGUUAAGUCCCGCAACGAGCGCAACCCUUGUCAUUAGUUGCUACAUUCAGUUGGGCACUCUAAUGAGACUGCCGGUGACAAACCGGAGGAAGGUGGGGAUGACGUCAAGUCCUCAUGGCCCUUAUAGGUGGGGCUACACACGUCAUACAAUGGAUGGUACAAAGGGUCGCCAACCCGCGAGGGGGAGCCAAUCCCAUAAAGCCAUUCGUAGUCCGGAUCGCAGUCUGCAACUCGACUGCGUGAAGUCGGAAUCGCUAGUAAUCGUGGAUCAGAAUGUCACGGUGAAUACGUUCCCGGGUCUU
rnacentral:rRNA from 1 species